rnacentral:rRNA from 1 species
CAUUAUUGUAUAACAGAUUCACCAGGGUUGUCGCUGACCUUUCNAAAAGGUCGUGCACACCCUAGUGUUCUCUUCAUAAAAUCUAUCUCACCCCUUUGUGCAUUACCGCGUGAGCCCUUAUUUUUGGUUUGUUCCAUCCAAGAGGGUUCACGUUUUUACAUAUAGACACCUUUUUAAUGCAUGCAUAGAAUGUCUUUACUUUUUGCAAUUAUAUGCAAUUAAUACAACUUUCAACAACGGAUCUCUUGGCUCUCGCAUCGAUGAAGAACGCAGCGAAAUGCGAUACGUAAUGUGAAUUGCAGAAUUCAGUGAAUCAUCGAAUCUUUGAACGCAUCUUGCGCUCCUUGGUAUUCUGAGGAGCACACCCGUUUGAGUGUCGUGACAUUCUCAAAACCUUUCUUGGUUUUAUUAACCAGAAAGGCUUUGGACUUUGGGGGUCUUAUUGCCGGCAUCCUUUGAAGCCAGCUCCUCCUAAAUAGAUUAGUAGGGUCUGCUUUGUCAAUCCUUGACGUGAUAAGAUAUUUUCUACGUCNCGGAGUUUGGCACAGUCACUUUGGGUCCUGCUUCUAACUGUCUUANCGGAAGACAUUGUUGUAAACCCUUGACCUCAAAUCGGGUGAGACUACCCGCUGAACUUAAGCAUAUCAAUAAGCGGAGGAAAAGAAACUAA